UGUGUUCAGUGAAAUCGAGUAGGGCGGGACACGUGAUAUCCUGUCUGAAUAUGGGGGGACCAUCCUCCAAGGCUAAAUACUACUGACUGACCGAUAGUGAACCAGUACCGUGAGGGAAAGGCGAAAAGAACCCCUGUGAGGGGAGUGAAAUAGAACCUGAAACCGUGUACGUACAAGCAGUAGGAGCAGGCUUGUCCUGUGACUGCGUACCUUUUGUAUAAUGGGUCAGCGACU
rnacentral:rRNA from 1 species